AAGGGAGAGGGAGAGAGGGAGAGAGAAAGAGAGAGAAAGGAGGAUGGGGAGGAAUAUGAAUGAGAGAAUGAGAAAUCAGGUAAGGGAAGAAAAAUCUGAGGGAUUUGUAGAUGCGGGACUUCCCUGUAUAUUUGCAGUAGCUUCACCCAAUCUCUUUCAGCUGCUGCCUGAGGUUGUUGAGGUUAACUAUUAAAAAACAGGCUGAGGGAGUUGUUAGGUACUGCACCCAAUUCAGAGGAUAAAGGACCUAGGUACAAAAGCUCCCCCCAAGCCGGGCCCCUCCCUCCACGCCAGCUCGCACCUCUUCUCCACCCGGUGCACCUGGGGCUGGCGCGGGCUCGGGACGCGUGCGGAGCGCCGCGAGCGCGGCGGAGGCAGAGGCGCGCUGACUGCCACCUCCAGCCCGCGCCCCAGGGACAGCUCGCGCGGAGCAACGGGCACCAUUCUCCGCGGCCGCUGCUCACGGCUGGCCGCGACCAUCGCCGCCGAAGCUACCGGCAGGCAGCCGUGCGUCCCCGGGACAGACAGCCCCGGAGGCUGCUCCUCCCGGAUGCCAGGGCCAGGGCGCCGGGCGGCGAGCAGCAGGAGGAUGAAGAGCUCAGCGGGAGGAAGGAGAGAAAAGCUCUUGGGGAUGCCUAAAGCUGAGCCCAGCCACGACCCAUUUACUUUGGAGGAGAGAAGAUUCUUUUUCACUCC
rnacentral:lncRNA from 1 species